rnacentral:rRNA from 1 species
GAUGAACGCUAGCGGGAGGCCUAACACAUGCAAGCCGAGCGGUAUUGUUUCUUCGGAAAUGAGAGAGCGGCGUACGGGUGCGGAACACGUGUGCAACCUGCCUUUAUCUGGGGGAUAGCCUUUCGAAAGGAAGAUUAAUACUCCAUAAUAUAUUGAACGGCAUCGUUUAAUAUUGAAAGCUCCGGCGGAUAGAGAUGGGCACGCGCAAGAUUAGCUAGUUGGUGAGGUAACGGCUCACCAAGGCGAUGAUCUUUAGGGGGCCUGAGAGGGUGAUCCCCCACACUGGUACUGAGACACGGACCAGACUCCUACGGGAGGCAGCAGUGAGGAAUAUUGGUCAAUGGGUGCAAGCCUGAACCAGCCAUCCCGCGUGAAGGACGACUGCCCUAUGGGUUGUAAACUUCUUUUGUAUAGGGAUAAACCUACCCUCGUGAGGGUAGCUGAAGGUACUAUACGAAUAAGCACCGGCUAACUCCGUGCCAGCAGCCGCGGUAAUACGGAGGGUGCAAGCGUUAUCCGGAUUUAUUGGGUUUAAAGGGUCCGUAGGCGGACUUAUAAGUCAGUGGUGAAAGCCUGUCGCUUAACGAUAGAACUGCCAUUGAUACUGUAAGUCUUGAGUAUAUUUGAGGUAGCUGGAAUAAGUAGUGUAGCGGUGAAAUGCAUAGAUAUUACUUAGAACACCAAUUGCGAAGGCAGGUUACCAAGAUAUAACUGACGCUGAGGGACGAAAGCGUGGGGAGCGAACAGGAUUAGAUACCCUGGUAGUCCACGCCGUAAACGAUGCUAACUCGUUUUUGGGCUUUAGGGUUCAGAGACCAAGCGAAAGUGAUAAGUUAGCCACCUGGGGAGUACGCUCGCAAGAGCGAAACUCAAAGGAAUUGACGGGGGCCCGCACAAGCGGUGGAUUAUGUGGUUUAAUUCGAUGAUACGCGAGGAACCUUACCAAGACUUAAAUGGGAAUUGACAGCUUUAGAAAUAGAGCUUUCUUCGGACAAUUUUCAAGGUGCUGCAUGGUUGUCGUCAGCUCGUGCCGUGAGGUGUUAGGUUAAGUCCUGCAACGAGCGCAACCCCUGUUACUAGUUGCCAUCAUUCAGUUGGGGACUCUAGUGAGACUGCCUACGCAAGUAGAGAGGAAGGUGGGGAUGACGUCAAAUCAUCACGGCCCUUACGUCUUGGGCCACACACGUAAUACAAUGGCCGGUACAGAGGGCAGCUACACAGCGAUGUGAUGCAAAUCUCGAAAGCCGGUCUCAGUUCGGAUUGGAGUCUGCAACUCGACUCUAUGAAGCUGGAAUCGCUAGUAAUCGCGCAUCAGCCAUGGCGCGGUGAAUACGUUCCCGGGCCU